rnacentral:rRNA from 1 species
CCAAUAGCGUAUAUUAAAGUUGUUGCAGUUAAAAAGCUCGUAGUUGAAUUUUUGAUUCUGCCUAUUGGUCCGUCUUUUAGAUGAGUACUGAUAGCGUAGGGUCUAUCUGCCUGAUGAUACGUAAUGCCCUUUAUUGGGUGUUGCGGGUAGUCAGGACUUUUACCUUGAAAAAAUUAGAGUGUUUAAAGCAGGCAAAUGCCGGAAUACAUUAGCAUGGAAUAAUAGAAUAGGACGAUGUUGUUCUAUUUUGUUGGUUUCUAGGACAACCGUAAUGAUUAAUAGGGAUAGUUGGGGGCAUUAGUAUUCAAUUGUCAGAGGUGAAAUUCUUGGAUUUAUUGAAGACUAACUACUGCGAAAGCAUUUGCCAAGGAUGUUUUCAUUAAUCAAGAACGAAAGUUAGGGGAUCGAAGACGAUCAGAUACCGUCGUAGUCUUAACCAUAAACUAUGCCGACUAGGGAUCGGGCGAUGUUGUUUCCAUGACUCGCUCGGCACCUUAUG